UUUUCUUUAGUUAGCAUUAGGGUUUUAAACCUUAAACUGAACUCUUUCCUUUAGUCAGCAUUAGGGUUUUAAACCCUAAACUGAACUUUUCCAUUCAGUCAGCAUUGGGGUUUUAAACCCUAAACUGAACUUUUUCCUUCCAGUCAGCAUUAGGGUUUUAAACCCUAAACUGAACUCUUUCCUUUAGUCAGCAUUAGGGUUUUAAACCCUAAACUAAACUUUUUCCUUUCAGUCAGCAUUAGGAUUUUAAAACCCUAAACUGAACUCUUUCCUUUCAGUCAGCAUUAGGGUUUUAAACCCUAAAUUGAACUCUUUCCUGUAGUCAGUAUUAGGGUUUUAAACCCUAAACUGAACUUUUUGCUGACUAUUAGGGUUUUAAACCCUAAAUUGAACUCUUUCCUGUAGUCAGCAUUAGGGUUUUAAACCCUAAACUGAACUUUUUCCUUUCAGUCAGCAUUAGGGUUUUAAAACCCUAAACUGAACUCUUUCCAUCCAGCCAGCAUUAGGGUUUUAAACCCUAAACUAAACUCUUUCCUUUAGUCAGCAUUAGGGUUUUAAACCCUAAACUAAACUUUUUCCUUUCAGUCAGCAUUAGAGUUUUAAAACCCUAAACUAAACUCUUUCCUUUCAGUCAGCAUUAGGGUUUUAAACCCUAAACUGAACUUUUUCCUUUAAUCAGCAUUAGGGUUUUAAACCCUAAACUGAACUUUUUCCUUUAAUCAGCAUUAGGGUUUUAAACCAUAAACUUAACUUUU
rnacentral:lncRNA from 1 species